UACGGAGGAUGCGAGCGUUAUCCGGAUUUAUUGGGUUUAAAGGGUGCGCAGGCGGGAGAUUAAGUCGGCGGUGAAAUUUUGCAGCUCAACUGUAAAAGUGCCUUCGAAACUGGUUUCCUUGAGUGUGGAUGAAGUAGGCGGAAUUUGUGGUGUAGUGGUGAAAUGCAUAGAUAUCACGAGGAACUCCGAUUGCGCAGGCAGCUUACUAAACUACUACUGACGCUCAGGCACGAAGGCGUGGGGAUCAAACAGGAUUAGAUACCCCGGUA
rnacentral:rRNA from 1 species